rnacentral:rRNA from 1 species
GAUGAACGCUAGCUACAGGCUUAACACAUGCAAGUCGAGCGACCGGCGCACGGGAGAGUUACACGUAACCAUGCCUCCCUUUACUCGAUGAUAGCCUUUCGAAAGAACGAUUAAUACACGAUACAAUGGACGGGGAUGCGUUCCACUAGGUGGUUGGUAAGGUAACGCCCCACCAAGCCUUCGAUGGAUAGGGGUCCUGAGAGGAAGGGCCCCCACAAUGGAACUGAGGCACGGUCCAAACUCCUAGGGGAGGCAGCAGUAAGGAUUAUUGGUCAAUGGGCGCUAGCCUGAGCCAGCCAAGUAGCGUGAAGGAUGAAGUCUUAUGGGACGUAAGCUUCUUUUAUAGAAGAAUAUGUAUUAUAUGAAUAAGGAACGGCUAACUCCGUGCCAGCAGCCGCGGUAAUAC